rnacentral:rRNA from 1 species
GAUUCCUACGGGAGGCAGCAGUGGGGAAUAUUGGACAAUGGGCGCAAGCCUGAUCCAGCCAUGCCGCGUGUGUGAAGAAGGCCUUCGGGUUGUAAAGCACUUUUGUCCGGAAAGAAAUCCAAUCGAUUAAUACUCGGUUGGGAUGACGGUACCGGAAGAAUAAGCACCGGCUAACUUCGUGCCAGCAGCCGCGGUAAUACGAAGGGUGCAAGCGUUACUCGGAAUUACUGGGCGUAAAGCGUGCGUAGGUGGUUCGUUAAGUCUGAUGUGAAAGCCCUGGGCUCAACCUGGGAAUGGCAUUGGAAACUGGCGACCUAGAGUGCGGUAGAGGGUAGCGGAAUUCCCGGUGUAGCAGUGAAAUGCGUAGAUAUCGGGAGGAACAUCUGUGGCGAAGGCGGCUACCUGGACCAGCACUGACACUGAGGCACGAAAGCGUGGGGAGCAAACAGGAUUAGAUACCCUGGUAGUCCACGCCCUAAACGAUGCGAACUGGAUGUUGGGUGCAACUUGGCACUCAGUAUCGAAGCUAACGCGUUAAGUUCGCCGCCUGGGAAGUACGGUCGCAAGACUGA